GAGGGGAUAGCUCAGUGGCAGAGCACAAGCUUAGCAUGCACAAAGUCCUGGGUUCAACCCCCAGUACCUCCA
rfam:Camelus ferus unplaced genomic scaffold scaffold931, whole genome shotgun sequence.